rnacentral:rRNA from 1 species
UACCUGACCUAGCGGCGGACGGGUGAGUAAUGCUUAGGAAUCUGCCUAUUAGUGGGGGACAACAUUCCGAAAGGAAUGCUAAUACCGCAUACGCCCUACGGGGGAAAGCAGGGGAUCUUCGGACCUUGCGCUAAUAGAUGAGCCUAAGUCAGAUUAGCUAGUUGGUGGGGUAAAGGCCUACCAAGGCGACGAUCUGUAGCGGGUCUGAGAGGAUGAUCCGCCACACUGGGACUGAGACACGGCCCAG